rnacentral:rRNA from 1 species
UGAGAUACGGGCAGGAAGGGUGGGGAGAGUGUGGGGUGGGGGAGUUGUCCGGAAUUACUGGGCGGAAAGAGCGCGUAGGGGGUUUGUGGCGUCGUCUGUGAAAUUCCGGGGCUUAACUCCGGGCGUGCAGGCGAUAGGGGCAUAACUUGAGUACUGUAGGGGAGACUGGAAUUCCUGGUGUAGCGGUGAAAUGCGCAGAUAUCAGGAGGAACACCGGUGGCGAAGGCGGGUCUCUGGGCAGUAACUGACGCUGAGGAGCGAAAGCAUGGGUAGCGAACAGGAUUAGAGACCCGAGUAGUC